AUAACUAUUGUAUAAGAGUUUUGAUUGUCUGUGUUCACCCUGAAUGUCAAACAUUAUGGUCCACAAGGGCAUUAACAAACAUCCGGGGAUUUCUUCUAUAGCAUUUGAUUUCUGAAAUGUUUAUAUUGGUAGCAUUUUACUUAUACAUAUUUAACCUAGGCCAGACUCUGUGUACUUUCUCACUUGACAAAUAUUCCUAUGCAGCUCUUUCUAUUGUAACACAUCAAACAAGCUUAACCUAAUUAUUUCUAACAUCUCUCUUUUUAUAAAGUAAAAGAACAAAACUUUGUGCUUUCCAAGAGCCCUCUAGGAAAUCUCAAAGACGGCUUCAGUAAAAGAAUUUUUUUAAAAAGUGUUUUGGUAUGUCAUAUACAGUUGUAGGAAGGCAAUUAGAAAUGUCGUUAGAAGAAAUGUGGGUACUUGACUAAGAUGGGAUAAUGGGUGCCUGUGACACUAUUUAACCGAAGUGACAAUAUAACAUUUAAAAAUAAGCACAGAAAAAAAAAGAUGGCCAUCUAUGAACCAGUAAUCACAUCCUCACCAAGCAGAAUCUGCCAGCACCUUGAUCUUGGACUUCAUAUCCAAGUCUCCAGAACUAGACAUGACAUUCCUCUACAAGCCAGAAGAGAGCUCCCCCCAGAACCAACCAUGCUGAUGCCUUUGCCCUUGGACUGCCAGCCUCCGGAACUGAUGGAACCUUAAACUGUUAUGUUUCACGUACAAUAGUUUUUUCUCCUUCAGCUGGCAACAGAAAUCAGCAGCUUAAGAGCCUUUCAAGGGCAAUUCUGUCCUACUGGGUCGUCUCGAAGUUGAAUGGAUUUCCAUGGAAGAGGGGCCUGCAGAGUUGAUAAUCGAACAAAGACAUGAGAAAAUGAAAGUCACCUGUACUGACCAAGUGGGCAAGGGAGGGCAAUCCAAUGUCAAAUAAAGGGUGUUUCCAAAGUCAA